rnacentral:ncRNA from 2 species
AACGUUCAUCCUCUUUAAUCCAGCUAUCAAGCAGCAUUAAGGGGACGGAAGUAGGGAGUUAUCCCGAAGGAACGCGCU